CCUAGAAGGAUACAGUUCACAUAAAUUAGGUAAAGGUUUUUACUGUGCAAACAGCCAUUUAAAACGGUUAAUAAGGGCUGAAAUGAUUCAUCGGAUUAGUCGUGACAAAUCUAUAAUUUAAAUAAUCUUCAACUAAUUUAGCAAUUAAUUAAUCGUUAACUGGAGUAUACAUACUCAAAACCAGGUCAUUUGCUGAAAUAACGCCACACUCAGAGAAGUAAUUAUGACAAAACUGUACAAAUGAUUAUUAGGACACCUGCAGGAUUCUUGUCGUUAGUUUGGGCACUUACCCGUUCUGCAAGACUGGUUACUAACUUGGGACACCUGAGCAACUGCUAAACCCAGUUAUUAAACCAUGACUGCAAAGUAACUCAUCUCUGCUCUCCUCUAUGGAGGAGAGCAGAGAUGCUUGCACAUUUCAACAUGCAUCCUCCUCUUAUUCUUGACCGUCUGUAACUAUGUUCUAUUCAGAACUGCUCAACUGGAAAUUUUAUAGGUUCUAUUAAGGAAGAAUAUUUUAUUAAAUUAACUUUGGACAAAACGUUUGGCUCUCUCUUCCUUAAUCCUCCGGGUCCUCAGCGGGCGGCGUGCAGGCACAAGGAAACAACAACGCUGCGCGUUGACGUCACAGAAAUCGCAGAGUUUAAUCCCAUACAACGCAUUAAUUAACAACAGAACUGCAGAGGGACAGAGAUAUACAUUUUACCUUGAGACAGGAAAAAUAGAGAAGGAAAAAACAAAGAAAAGGCAAAGAUGCGUCUUUGGAGAUAGCUGAUGCAAAAAAGCAAAAUAGUGGCAGCUUUCUGAAUUUUUUACUCCUGACACGAAGUCUUAUACUAAAGGUGUGUCUUUGUUUUUUAAUAUAUGCACUUAAGGCAUUCCUCUAGUUGACCAACUGGAAGCUACCUUGGACAAUCAGAAAAACUUAGGAACUCCCCCUAAUUUACGGCAAAUAUCAAAGGGCCAUCUGGUCUCUGGUAAAACAAAAGAGCGAACAGCUGCGUCCUGACCCCCCUGUGGUUCUACGGUCAUUCGAGCAAAGACAAAAACAUGAGAUAAGAUUUCACACCACCCCAGAUGUUGGUUUCUGGAAGACUUUUUUGAUCUUCUGUGAACAAAACAGGCUUCUCUCCCCCAAGCUCAAUUUAUUGCCCUGCAGAAAAUGCUAAUUUUAUGGCCUCCUGUGCUGUGGCCGCACAGCGGGAGGCCCCAUUGAGAGAUCUGCAUUUGGCCCCUGUUUGUCUGAAUGCCUGCUCAUCUGGCCCAAUCCCGAAUGCUCAACACAAACCUGUUCAAAAUAAAGAAAUUUGUUCAAAAUAAGAGUGUUGAAUAUACCUUUUACACAUGCCGUAAGAUUAACUGUAUUAAGCACUAAAAAUAAUCAUUUUUCCUUAACAGUUCCCCUAUUCAGAACUGCUCAAGUGGUAAUUUUAUAGGUUCCCCUAUUCAGAACUGCUCAAGUGGAAAUUUUAUAGGUUCCCCUAUUCAGAACUGCUCAAGUGGAAAUUUUAUUGGUUCCCCUAAUUCAAACUAUGUGAAAAAAACCCCCUCCUAUUAAUCACAUUUCGCUAUCUAAUUAUUAACUGGUAAAUUUAAAAAUAAUCAUCAGAUUAUGCAGUAUAGAUGUUAAAUCAAGUAGAAUAAGCUGAGUUUUUUACAGGUAGAUGUUGGAAGUAUUUUUAGCUGCAGAUUCAUCCUUUGCUACAAAUGAUCAAACACACUAAAGUAAUGCUAUGUUAUUGCAUUUUAAGCAAGAAAAUGAUUAUUUUCUUAUUUUAAAAAAGGAAUUGAAUUGAUUUGUUUAUUUUAAUGUAUUUCUACUACUGCAUAAAAUAAGCCUGCAUAAAAUAAGCCUAUACGUGGUUAAAUGAUAAAUCUAAAGAAUGUGUCAGUUUCAAUCCAAUUAAUCAGAAUAAUCAAUAGAAUAAUCUAAUAUUAAAAUAAUAGUUAGUGGCAGCCUUACAGCUAUAUCUGACACAGUCAUAACAAUUACCAAUAAUAAUUCUUAUUGUCAUUAUGAAAUACAUGUAAUAAAUACAUUGACUUACAACCACAGUCACUGUGAUUAUACAGUGGCAAACAUAAGUAAAGAAUACAUCAAGAUUUUUCUCAUCAAAUAUUUAGAAUUAAAUACUGAGCUUCAAAAAGACCUGGAAAGAGCAGGUACAGUUUUAAAAUAAGAAACCUUCCACUUAGCCACAAUAGCCAAUAUGCACAGUUUGAGCAAAAGACUCCACUGCUGAAGGAAAAAAAAAACAAAA